ACCUGAAACACACGUGUAGGAAGUUAUUUUUAUUUUACUAAAUUAAUCUUCAUACUCUUCCCACUUUACUAGAGUUCGUCUGCUUUUGGCUCGAGUAACUUUCAGCUACGGCUGUUUGGCUCGCUUCGCUAAAUUGGAUAAUUGAAGGCAAUAUUUCCUUAGGAUUAAAGCCGCUUUCGCACUCGAUUAACGAGUACGUUAAACCGUCCUUCGCGAAGGACCCCGUGUUACCCUUGAAUUUGAAUAAUUGCCAACUGUAUUAGGACACACCCGACCUUUCAUUUGGCGCUCGUGCACUCAACGGUCGAAUACGAUAUUCAGCGAAUAAAUAUAAAAGCAUUAAGCUGCUUCGUCCUGCGAGUAAGAAGACACUCGAAUUAUUAUUAUUAUCAUCAUCCGCAAUUUUUCCCUCAUGUAAUUCUUGAGCGAUAAAAAAAUUCCUCGCACAUGAUAAAGAUAUCCUGUAAUUUAAAAAGAAAAAAAAUUUGCGUUCGAGGUAUUAAUUUUUUUUUUUUCUUUUCUUAUACAACCUACAUCUUUUGUAAUCGGUUUCUAUCUUUGCUUGUAAUACUACGGUACAGCAGCCGACCGUUCAUGUACCACAAGGUUCAUUGUCUCUACUCUCGUCUAUGGUUUUCCCUUCAGAUGCAGCGUGCGCUUAUGCAUAUGAUAAUCCUUCUGUCAGCCCCUAGGAAAAUAUGGGGUAGAGUUAUAGAUAACCUGCUUCGUACUCAGGCCGAUAUCCAAGUUUCUUGCUGUUUAUCGUACAAUAGUCUAGCAUAAAAUUUAUAUUGGCUUCAUAGGAGAUGAUACAAAUAUUUGAAAAAAAAGUUCUAUAGCUCAAUCAACGAUUGGCUAUUGUUUCGAAUGGUCGCCAGUUCACGAUGGUGGACAAAAUCGAAUACGCUUUGUUUCUGACUCCACAGUAAAUUAUACACGGCUCCGCGAUAAUUCCGUUUCACUCGGAGCAGGGAUAUUUCCAUGGCUAUUAUCGUUCAGCGUUAAGCCUGGUUUACAAGACGGUGUUUCGAAACAUUUACUACUCUAUAUAUGAAUAUACAUUGAUGGAAGAGUUGCGUCAUUCUUCCUUCUACGUUUUACAGGACCAAGUCUAAAGCGCAAUUGGGCUGUAGGACGAAAUCAAAAAAUACAUAUAGACAGUUUGGGAAAUUUUGUAUACGUAAUACAGGUAUUAUACUUAUAUGCUAUAUAUAUAUUAUGUGAUAUUAAAAAAAAAAAUUGCUAUAGAUUUUUUUUUAUGCUAUCUGUCGUUAUCAUCUUUCGUGCUUUGUUAUCUAACUGAUUGAGGGAUUCGAGAUUGAGAAAUAAGGGAUUGAAAUUAUAUUGAAGCUCCAGACGGUCUUUACGUGAUGAAUAUGCAUUGAAUCUCACUGUUACCCCCGUUGAUCGAUCUAAUUCAAUAUUCUUGAUAGGAUCUACCUAAUGGGUAGUAUAUCUGUGUAGAGUAUCCGAUCAAUACUGGAACACUACUUUGUCAUUGUGAAUCAGGCUUAAUAGUCAUAAACAAGAUUUCUGGGUAUGAUUUCAUCAGUUUUCACAAUUGUGUUCCUGCGAUUGUUCCAGCAAGGGAUGAUUCUGGGAUGGUCCCCGAGGGAUGAAUUUUCCAGGAAACGCGAAUACGGUUGAUAGUGCCUUUAACGACGACUCAUUGUGCGUCUGCCUUAAAUCCCUUUUCACUUAAAGCACACUCGAGAUUCGGAGCCCCUUUCUCGUUAUUCGUCUUGAAAACGUGACUUGGGAAGCUGUAUAUAUAAUUCAUUGAUCAUCUUUACGACCACUUCGCAGCUGAAUUUUACCCUGGAAAUACGUAGCUCGAUCGGAUUCCUUUAUGAUCUCUCGUGGUAACAUUCCUUAAGAUCUAGGUGAUUUUUCUGAAGAAAAAAAAAAGAGGAAGAAUGGCCCAAAAAAAAAGUCUUCCGUGAGUUACCAAAAAUAUGGAGAUAAAGAAGACAAAUGGAGUUAAGGAUUCUUCUUAAGGAUCAUUCCUGACCCAGUUCCUAAUCUUAUGAAACUUGAGGUUCACUUCCGUCGAAUUUACAUACGCAAGUAGUGGUUCCAGGCUUGAAUUACAUGGGCAGACUCAGGCAGGUGUGACGUGACACUGAAGUUCAAGUGAACUCGCCUUAUUACAAGAGACGCCUGGCGUCGUGGAAGACGCUAUCGAUUGUUACAAGGGGCAAGACCAGGUCUAACGACGUGGAACGUUCAAAUUUGAAAUAAGGGUCUGGAGGCGAAGAAGAAGAAGAUAAAGGAUAUAAAGGGAAGUCUAGUGUCAGAUUGUCAAGUCUUUUUAUUCCUAUUGUCGAUAAUUUUUUUUUUCUUUCUCCCUUCUGUAGCUCCUCGACCUUCCUUCAUUAAGCUCCGAGUCUGCCCGACGAUUUCACUGAAUCUGCAUCGCACGAUAACGAGCUUAACCAGGACUCAAUCCGACUCUGUCGAGACGAAUCCUUACUAGCGAGUGCGGAUGGGGCUUAACAAGCUCCCGUGAUCCGUUAAAGCACUCACUUAUGAACGUGGACGAGGUUGGUUAGGGACAAGGACCUAAAACAGUUCCUGGGAAAUUUGAUUACCGGCCACCACAUUCCUUUCAUCCGGAUGAUGAUGAAUCCUGGAUCCUUUUUUAUCAAUUGGACAUCAUGCACGUGGGUCCAGUUAUCCCGUUUGCAAGCGGCGCACAGGAUCUGGGCAAUGGACGGUAGUAAGAAGAUUCAGGGUCUGUGGAGAAUUAGCAGCAGUUUUGCUGUAUAGCCCCGUGAAGAAGGACCGGGAUAUAGCAUGGGAGUUAGGGCAGAACUGGCAAGGGCGAUGACUAUAAUCCUACUGGGAAGGGCCAGGACUAAGUUCAAAAGUCGAAAAUCUGGUUGCACGAGUAUGGAGGAAGAUCCACCGUAGGAGAUGGCUUGUUUAUACGCCUGUGAAUACUGUAGGGGAUCUCAGGAUGUUCCGAGUGACACAAGAAGAUACGACCCAGAGAGGAAAUUCAAACAUGAAAUAUGUACACGUUCAGGCAACAUGCGUUCGAUGGUCGGGACGUUCGAUGUGGUUUUUGAGAUUUACGUGAUCUUAUGUGAAUAGAUAUGUAGUUCAGUCCACGGAAGACUUUAUACAGGAACAGAGAUUUUUUGUUUAAUCUUUUUUUUUUUAAAAAAAAAAAACAAACCUUGUAGAUACAAGGAUAAUGCCCGAGACAGAUAUGGCGGUAGAGAUUCAAGAUGAAGGAAUAAGAAGAAAAAGAAGAUUAAGGAUGGCCGAUGGACAAUGCACUUUGUGAAGAGAAAAAAAAAAAGAAAAUUUUGCUCAAAAAGCGUUUAUUUUCUCGGUUAAUUUCCCUCGCAGAGUGGCUGCUCGUAAAGUCGUCAUCUCAUAUUUAUUAAUUCUGAUGAAUAAUUCAAGGAAGGCAGCGUGCACCGAGUUAUUAUACUUGUAGCAUGGAAAAUACCGAGUUUAUGGGAGACUAGACGCGUUUGGAAGUCUGUUAGAAAAUUAUACACCUGUUUUUAAUAGCGACUAGUGUUAGGGCAUAUAUAUAAUAAUAUAAAAUCACUAUCCAACAUUAAUUGUCAUGCGAGUUUCCAGUUUCUACGAUUUUAUAAAAUUACUAAUAACCACGAGCUGAAACUUAUAAUUGACUUUGUAUGUCAGGUACAUUAUUGCCUGUAACGACGGCGCGUUUCAAUGGAUACGAAAUAUUGCUGACGUUGAGAACUUCAAGCCUGGCAACGUAGUAACGAAAACUACUAAGUCAGACGGCACAGGCUAACCUGAAUCUAACUAGUUACUGCCAUGAGUUCACUAGGGUAUCCAAUCCUCAAAAGCAUCUGAAGCAGCAGGAUGACAGAGAGUGAGUGUAGCAGUGGAGGAGAUAGACGAGAAAAAUCAAAGUGCUUUGAGAUUUACUGCUAUUGUUGCUGACGUUCACGUGAACCAUUAUGGGAUCUCCAUGAGCGUAAAUCGCACGAUCCAGUCGCGCCUCCAGUCCCACUCGGCCGUCGCUCAAUAGAAACGGUUUUUCGACAGCUGCAUGGGGUGCUGAUGGCUCUGCAAGAGAACGAAGAUAAUGAAUCCGUCGCGUCAAUAGAGAUACCGCUGGCAAUUGGAUUGCAGGGAAUUGUUAGAAU